GUUCAAUCUCACCGACAGAAAUGUAAAAUGAGGCAACCAGGAGGAAGUGACAUAUACAUUUUCUUACAAAGACAGAAAAGAUUCAAUCUGAUGAAACAUUAGUUCAUUGGGCUGACUGACAGAGAGCAGCAUGUCUGGUUUCAGAUGGAUUUCACUGUUUCUGAUGCUGAUUCAUUUACCAGUCAUAACUGGACAAUAUAUCCGCUUCACUGUCAGGAUAGGAGGUGAUGUCAAGUUGCCUUGUGGAAAAGUGAUACAGGAGCAGGAUAAAUGCGACCGCACUACCUGGAGCUUCCGUCAUUUUACCAGCGCAUCAGUGAAUCUCGUUCGUUUUGGGCGGGUUCUGGAAACAGCCAUAGCUAAAUCCGACAGACUGAGUGUCACAGAGAACUGUUCUCUGGUUGUUACGAAGGUGACAGUCGAGGAUGGUGGUCUCUACACCUGCAGACAGUUGGAAUCAGGAAAACAUAAAGACACUCACGUUCACCUGUUCGUCAUUAUCAUGAGUGAACGUCAGGAGGCUGAUAAAGUUACAUUAAACUGCUCUGUGUCGACUCCUGGAUGGUGUGACCAGACACUGAAGUGGCUGUAUGAGGACGCCUAUGUGGAUAAAUACAACAAAGACAUGAAGAUUUCAGGGUCCGGGUGCUCGGUGACCGUGACAUUUGCUUCCUCUUUCCUGAAGCGUCAUCGGUCGUUCAAAUGUGAAUUGACAGAUAUUUACAGCACAGCAAAGGAGCAGUUUCCAUUCAGCCGUCAGUCCUCAGGCGAAGAUGCAACAACAACCAGAUCGAAAUCAACAGCGGAACCAACAAGAAAGACCUCAGCAACGUCAACGUCGACAGCAGGACAGACAACAACACCAACGUCAUCAACUUCAACACAAGGAGGCGAGAAACAAACAAGAUUAUUCAUGUUUCAAGAGUAGUUCAUACACAUUUGUACAAUAGUGCAGAUUUGGUUAAAAAUGUGGAUUUGCAACAUUUACCAAUGUUUUUGUUUUCCCAUCACCCAACACUCCCACACUGUUUUGAAAACUACUGUGUUUCC
rnacentral:lncRNA from 1 species